GGGGGUAUAGCCAAGAGGCUAAGGCAAAGGUCUGCAAAACCUUCAUCCCCGGUUCAAAUCCGGGUACCCCCU
rnacentral:tRNA from 3 species